UCGCAAAAGGCAAAAGGGGGACUACCCUAGGGAUUCUGAGGAUUAGGAAGGAGAGCUACAACAUAUAACGAAUAAUAGGUAGAUAGGAAGGGCUAU
rnacentral:misc_RNA from 1 species